rnacentral:rRNA from 1 species
CCGAUCAACNCCGCGUGAGCGAUGAAGGCNUNNCGGGUCGUAAANCUCUGUUGUUAGAGGAAGAAACAAGUGACGAAGAGUAACUGNCUCGUACCUUGACGGUACCUAACCAGAAAGCCACGGCUAACUACGUGCCAGCAGCCNCGGUAAUACGGGGGGGGGCAAGCGUUGUUCGGAAUUACUGGGCGUAAAGGGCUCGUAGGUGGCCAACUAAGUCAGACGUGAAAUCCCCAGGCUCAACUUGGGAACUGCGUCUGAUACUGGAUGGCUUGAAUUCGGGAGAGGGAUGCAGAAUUCCAGGUGUAGCGGUGAAAUGCGUAGAUAUCUGGAGGAAUACCGGUGGCGAAGGCGGCAUCCUGGACCGAGAUUGACACUGAGGAGCGAAAGCCAGGGGAGCAAACGGGAUUAGAUACCCCGGUAGUCCUGGCCCUAAACGAUGAAUGCUUGUGUGUGACGGGUAUCGAUCCCUGUCGUGCCGAAGCUAACGCANNAAGCAUUCC